rnacentral:lncRNA from 1 species
CAGGUAUGUGAUACCCUUAGAUGUUCUGGACUGCAUGCGCGCUACACUGAUGUAUUCAACGAGUCUAUAGCCUUGGUUGACAGGCUCGGGUAAUCUUUGAAAUUUCGUCGUGAUGGGGAUAUAUCAUUGCAAUUUUUAGUCUUCAACGAGGAAUUCCUAGAAAGCGCGAGUCAUCAACUCGCGUUGACUACGUCUGUGCCCUUUGUACACACCGCCCAUUGCUUCUACCGAUUGAAUGGUUUGAUGAAGAGUUCGGAUUGUGGCGAUGCUUUGUGGUUCGCUGUCGGCAACAUUGUGAGAAGUCCAUUGAACCUUAUCAUUUAGAGGAAGGAGAAGUCGUAACAAGGUUUCCGUAGCUGAACCUGCACAAGGAUCAUUGUCGAAGCCUCACAAGUAGUGUGAGCCCGUGAAUCUGCUUUACUCCUCAGGGGUGGCUAGAGGUGUUUGGUGUAAUACCCCGAAAAUUAUUUCAUAUUUAAUAUAUUUAAUCUCUUAGAAAAAUGGGUAAAUUUUUCUUUCCUUUUUUCUUUCUUUUAUGUAACCUAUAAGUUACAAAUCAUUUUCACUUUUACCUUAUUCCAUUUUCAAGACGUCACAUUUUCAAACCUUGCGAAAAUAAAAUUCUUAAUACAUUGAAGAUAAUUAAAUGAACACAAUUCUUUUCUGAAUACUUCUCAUUCAUAAAAUUCUUGAAUAAAUAUAGAAUUGAUUACAGGGAAAAAUCUAAUCAUCGCCACAAAUAAAAAAACUUAAAAUACAAAGAAAAUAAUGUCGGGGCAUUGGCAUUACAAAAAGUACCUCACACAGGUUCCUAUCACAACAAAACAAAAGAGAAACCUCCUAAACUGGAGGUGCACUGGAAGCCUAGCUAGGGUCUUCCUCCACCUCCGAGUCAUUAGAGAUCUCAAUGACCUCAACUGAAUCUUCUAUGCAGAUAAGCUCUACACAUCGUGGUUGUCUUCCUCCUCCUCCAUUUCAUACGCUCUCCAAUCCAUCGAGGGGUCCGAAGUGUAACCCCUUGGCAUGGCCCCGUCUGUCUCUCUCGGUGCCGAUCCUGAUGAUGAGAAUCCUGUUUGGGGCCAGAUCCUAACAACUUCUGGUACGCCUCGAGCUUCAACCGGUACAGCAAGUCCGGCGGUUGCAGGUCUUCUGUCGGGCAAAGUGCAUGAUGCCUCCGAAACUGCAUAGUAAGGUGGUAGAUGUAGAACUGAGUCAUUGCUUACCCAAUCCAGCUCUAGGUCGCAAGGACCUGUGUAAGUGUGUCCAUUACCCUCAACACUCCAUGUCCCCUCCUAGGACAUAGUGAAGCGAUAACCUCGGAUCAAUGCUCAUGGGUCCAUCUGAACAUGCAUACAAAUACACCAGAAGAAAAUAGAUGGAGUGAAACAUCAAUGAAAAACUUGCCAUUGACAUCGUGGAAUUACACAGAAUAAGACAACACACGAGUACAGAUAUAUCAUGUGAUCAUACAAGCAUAUAAUAACGAUGAAUGAAGUAUAAAACUCGAGAAUUUAGAAUCAAUAUCGAUGAAUAUAAUGUAUGCAAUGCGAUGCUUGAGUCCACCAUCCUUACUCCUUUAUCCUCCCAAUAACUAUUUGGAAAUAACCGAGAGUACAGUUCCCAUAACAAGCCGAUUUGAUCGCACCAACAUUAUUCAUCGCAAGGAUAUAUGAUCGAUCUGUUCCAAUGGAACUGUCCAUUUCAGGACGAUGUCGUAUCAAACACUUUCUGGGCUUCCCUCUCAUCGAUCCUGAUUACAAAGAGGGAUUGUCAGAGAUCGUCUAGUUUGCGCUGUGAACUCUGUCCGAUCCAACAGAAUACCUCAUCUAGGAAUACAUGGGACUCGUCUCACCUAGACUCUCCCUCAAGACUUUGCGGAUGAAUCACCCCCAUCAACCCCGUCCCUCUCAACAUCUCAGGGCUCAUUCGUCUCCCGUACAUUUCCUCUCCACUACUUCAUUUUUUACCAUGGAUUUGCCCCCUAACUGAAAUUAGAAAAUUAUGUCUUUUAAUCCAUCUUUUCUAGCGAUCUGCCCAUCCUAAGCCAUCUCCCAUCGGGAAUGCUUCUAGUGGGUCCCGAUCUUAACAUAUAAACAAAAGGAGAAUAAUUUCGGCACCACUACAAACCAUCACUGAAUUAUCCUGGACGACUAUCAAGCCAAGCCUCUUACGGUCAGACGAUCUCGCUGCAUGCGCACAACAUAUACUUCUCAGCACCACUGCGAACCAUCGCUGAAUCAUCCUGGACGACUCCUCUAGCCAAGCCUCUUACGGUCAAACAAUCUCACUGCGUGGGCAUAAGUGUUAAUUUCAUAGUCAUGAAAAUAAAUCCUAAGGUAAGACUUUCUACUACUUUAAUAUCCAAAACUUCAUAACACUUUAAGUUUAUGAAGUCAAGACUUUAAUAAAUCAUCUUUUAUCCCAAAUAAUUAUUUUAACUUGGAACAAAACCUCAUACUAUCAUCCUUCUUCUUUACAAACAAAACUAGAGCACCCCACGGAAAAACACUCAGUCUGAUGAACUGUUUUUGCAGUAGAUCCUCCAAUUGUUUCUUCAACUCUGUCAACUCUAGCGAUGCCAUCCUAUAGGGAGCUAUAGAGAUUGGUCCAACCAUUUGAAAUAUGAGUGCAUCAUAUUUGAAUGAGUUAAUCCUCUAAUUGUAAGUUCCUAUCUGGAAAACUUUGAUUGUCGGGCUUUAGAGUAUGAAUCAUCUUAAAACUUGCCCUAGUUUGAGAGGCUUCCAGUUUUCUUUUGCUUUUAGUGCUCUUUACUUCAUGCAUAAUGUAACACCCCGAAAAUAAUUUCUAUUUAAUAUAUUUAAUCUCUUAGAAAAAUGGGUAAAUUUUUCUUUCCUUUUUUUUCCUUUUAUGUAACCUAUAACUUACAAAUCAUUUUCACUUUUACCUUAUUCCAUUUUCAAGACGUCACAUUUUCAAACCUUGCGGAAAUAAAAUUCUUAAUACAUUGAACAUAAUUAAAUGAAUACAAUUCUUUUCUGAAUACUUCUCAUUCAUAAAAUUCUUGAAUAAAUACAGAAUUGUUUAAGGGAAAAAUCUAAUCAUGGCCACAAAUAAAAAAACUAAAAAUACAAACAAAAUAUUGUCGGGGCAUUGGCAAUACAAAAAGUACCUCACACAGGUUCCUAUCACAACAAAACAAAAGAGAAUCCUCCUAUACCGAAGGUGCACUAGAAGCCUCGCUAGGUUCUUCCUCCACCUCCGAGUCAGAAAAGAUCUCAAUGACCUCAACUGAAUCUUCUAUGCAGAUAAGCUCUACACAAUCGUCGUUAUCUUCCGCCUCCUCGACUUUAUUCGCACUCCAAUCCAUCGAGGGGUCUGAGGUGUACAAAAAGUUGUUCCAAAAACUCAUUUGUUAUGGUAAGCAUACCUAUAAUCAAACUUUUACGUCCGACUUGAACCACUAAAUUCAAAUCCCUAAACUCCUCCAUCAGCUUCAUUUCUCUGACCAUCAUGGUUGAAAUGUGCAAAGACUGCCUACUCAAUGCAUCAGCCACCAUAUUAGCUUUUUCGGGAUGGUACUGAAGAUAAAAAUCCUAGUCCUUGAGGAAUUCCAUCCAUCAUCUUUGUCUCAUGUUCAGUUCCUUCUGGUCGAACAGGUACUUCAGACUCUUGUGGUCACUGAAAACUUCGACUCUCACACCAUACAGAUGGUGUCUCCACCCCUUGAGGGAAAACACGAUUGCAGCUAGUUCCAGAUUGUGCGUUCGGUAGUUCUACUCCUGUCUCUUUAACUGCCUUGACGCUUAAGCCACUACUUUCCUUUGUUGCAUCAACACACAACUUAAUCCUUGCUUCGACGCGUCACAAUAUACGUUGUAGUUUUCGUUGGGAUCUGGCAACACUAAUACAGGCGUUAUGGUCAACCUCUCCUUGAACUCUUGAAAACUUGAUUCACACUUUGUCGUCCAGACAACGGCUUUGUCCUUCCUCGUUAGUGUUGUUAGCGGCAAGGAUAACUUUGAAAAUCCUUCAAUGAAUUUUCAAUAGUACCCGCUAAUCCGAGAAAGCUUCUGAUCUUCGUCACCAACUUCGGAGAAUUCCAUUCCAUUAUCGUCUCCACUUUCAGAGGAUCCACGACAAUUCCUCCUUUCCAGAUUACAUGACCGAGAAAAUUUAUCGACUCUAGCCAAAACUCACACUUUGAAAAUUUUGCAUAGAAUUGAUUGUCCUUCAAAAUCUGCAAUACCACUCGCAUAUGUUCGACAUGUUCAUCUUGAUUAUUUGAAUAUAUCAGGAUAUCAUCGAUAAACACGACUACAAAGGUGUCGAGGUAUGGAUGAAAAAUCAUGUUCAUGUAAUCCAUGAAUACUGCAGGGGUGUUGGUCACACCAAAUGGCAUUACAAGGUAUUCGUUAUCUCCAUAAUGCGUCCAAAAAGCUAUUUUUGGAAUGUCUUCCGACUUUACGCAUAUUUGAUGAUACCCCGAUGGAAGAUUGAUCUUUGAAAAUAUUGUAGCUCCUCUAGCUGGUCCAUCAAGUCAUCAAUCCUUGGCAACAGAUACUUGUUCUUAAUGGUCGCCUUGUUUAGUUGUCGGUAGUUGGUACACAACCUCAUACUAUCGUCCUUCUUCAUUACUAACAAAACUGGAGCACCAUACGGAGAAACACUCGAUCUGACGAACUGCUUCUGCAGUAGAUCCUCCAAUUGUUUCUUCAUCUCUGUCAACUCUAACGGUGCCAUCCUAUAGGGAGCUAUAGAUAUUGGUCCAACCAUUUGAAAUCUGAGUGCAUCAGAUUUGAAUGAGUUAAUCCUCUAAUCGUAAGUUCAUAACAUUUACAUCUUCAAACGAAGAUCAGAAACAAUCAAACAAUCACACAAAGUCACACAAGAAAGUAUGUAAGGUCAUGCUCAGGCCGGAUAGGAUUGAACCACUCUGAUACCACUUUAUGCAUCCCCCCAAAAAUCAUUUCAUAUUUAAUAUAUUUAAUCUCUUAGAAAAAUGUGUAAAAUUGUCUUUUAUGUAACCUAUUGUAACGCCCCAAAAAUCAUUUCAUAUUUAAUAUAUUUAAUCUCUUAGAAAAAUGUGUAAAAUUGUCUUUUAUGUAACCUAUAACUUACAUAUAAUUUUCACUUUUACCUUAUUCCAUUUACAAGAUUGUCAAAUUUUCAAACCUUGCAGAAAUAAAAUUCUUAAUACAUUGAAGAUAAUUAAAUGAACACAAUUCUUUUCUAAAUACUUCUCAUUCAUAAAAUUCUUGAAUAAAUACAGAAUUGUUUACAUGGUGAAAUCUAAUCAUCGCCACAAAUAAAAAAAACUAAAAACACAAAGGAAAUAAUGUCAAGGCAUUGGCAUUACAAAAAAGUACCUCACACAGGUUCCUAUCACAACAAAACAAAAGAGAAACCUCCUAAACUGGGCGUGCACUGGAAGCCUCGCUAGGGUCUUCCUCCACCUCCGAGUUAGAAGAGAUCUCAACAACCUCAAAUGAAUCUUCUUUGCAGAUAAGCUCUACACACUCGAUGUUGUCUUCCUCCUCCUCUUCCUCCACUUCAUCCGCUCCCCAAUCCAUCGAGGGGUCCAGGGUGUACCCCUUGGCAUAGCCCCGUCUGUCUCUCUUGGUGCCGAUCCUAAUGUUGAGAAUUCUGUUUGGGGUCAGGUCCUAACAACUUUUGGUACACCUCGAGCUUCAACCGAUACAGAAAGUUCAGCGGUUGCAGGUCUUCGGUCGGGCAAAGUGAAUGAUGCCUCCCGAACUGCAUAGUAAGGUGGAAGAUGCAGAACUGAGCCAUUGCUUACCCAAUCCAGCUCUAGGUUGCAAGGACAUGUGUAAGUGUGUCGAUUACCCUCAACACUCCAUAUCCCCUCCUGGAACAUAGUGAAGUGAUAACCUCAGAUCAGUGCUGAUGGGUUCAUCUGAAUACGUUUAUAAAUACACCAGAACAAAAGAGAGGGAGUAAAACAUCUAUGAAAAACUUGUCAUCGACUUCGUCGAAUUAUACGGAAUAAUACACCAAGACAACACACGAGUACAUAUAUAUCAUGUGAUCAUACAAGCAUAUAAUAAUGAGGAAUGAAGUAUAAAACUCUAGAAUUUAGAAUCAAUAUCGAAGAAUAUCGUGUGUGCAAUGCGAUGCAUGAGUCCACCAUCCUUACUCCUUUAUCCUCCCAAUAACUAUUCGGAAAUAACUUCGAGUACAGUUCCCAUAAAAAUCCGAUUUUAUGGCACCAAAAUAUUCCUCGCAAGGAUAUAUGAUCGAUAUGUUCCAACGGAACUAUCCAUUUCAGGAUGGUGUCGUGUCAAACACUUUCUGGUCAUCCCUCUCAUUGAUCCUGAUUGCAAAGAGGGGUUGUUAGAGAUCGUCUAGUUUGUGUUGUGAGCAAUGUCCGAUCCAACAUAAUACCUCACCUUGGAAACGGCUCAGCCAAAGGUAGAGUCCAACGGCUGGAAGAGCCCCACACGUCGUGUGGUGUCCGGUGCGCCCCCAGCGGCCCUUGAAUAUCCGGAGGACUGAGUGCCUCCCACGCCCGAUCGUACUCAUAACCGCAUCAGGUCUCCAAGGUGAACAACCUCUUGUCGAUGGUACAAUGUAGGUAAAUGAAGUCGGCAAAAUGGAUCUGUAACCUCGGGAAAAGGAUUGGCUCUAAGGGCUUGGCACGGCGAUCCUAGUCCCCAACCCGUUGGCUGUCGUGGCGAGAGUGGGUCGCCAUAUGCCAGUCGGAGGACAGAUUGGGAACGAGCCCUUCGGAUGUUGACGCGAAGCAUUAAGAUGAUCCCUGUGGAUGUUGACGCAAUGUGAUUUCUGCCUAGUGCUCUGAAUGUCAAAGUGAAAAAAUUAUACCAAGAAAGGGUAAACGGCGGGAGUAACUGACUAUGACUCUCUUAAGGUAGCCAAAUGCCUCGUCAUCUAAUCAGUGACGCACAUGAAUGGAUUAAUGAGAUUCCCAUUGUGCUUAUCUACUAUCCAACGUCACCGCAGCCAAGGGUACUGGCUUGGCAGAAUCAGCAGGGAAAGAAGACCCUAUUGAGCUUGACUCUAGUCCGACUUUGUGAAAUGACUUGAGAGGUGUAGGAUAAGUGGGAGCUGGAAAUAGCAAAAGUGAAAAACCACUACUUUUAACGUUAUUUUCUUAUUCCGUGAAUCGGAGGCGGGGCGCAACACCUGUAUUUGGACCCAAGGUCAGCCUCGGUUGGUCGAUCCGAGCGGAAUACAUUGUCAAGUGGGGAGUUUGGCUGGGGUGGCACAUCUAUUAAAAGAUAACAUAAGUGCCCUAAGAUGAGCUCAACGAGAACAUAAAUCUCGUAUGGAACAAAAGGGUAAGAGCUCUUUUGAUUCUGAUUUCCAGUACGAAUACGAACCAUGAAAGCGUGGCCUAUCAAUCCUUUAAUCCUUUAGAAUUUGAAGCUAGAGGUGUCAGAAAACUUACCAUAGGGAUAACUGGCUUGUGGCAGCCAAGUGUUCAUAGCGACGUUGCUUUUUGAUCCUUCGAUGUCGACUCUUCCUAUCAUUGUGAAGCAUAAUUCACCAAGUCUUGGAUUGUUCACCCACCAAUAGAGAAUGUGAGCUGGGUUUAGACCAUCGUGAGACAGGUUAGUUUUAUCCUACUUAUGAAAAUUUAUCGGCUUGGAGAAAAAUCAUGUAACUUCAUUGACCACUAUCUCCUAUUCUUAUAAGCACAUGUGCAAAACCUCAUGGCAAAAUUCGACUUCUAGCCUAAAAAACCCACUAUGUCUUCCCAAAAAAAGGUUUUCCGGUGGUGUAGAGUAGGCUUCUGCAUAUUAGCCUACUAUAUCGGGGCAAGCUGCCUUCCUGCCCACACACCUUGGUGGGUCAGGAUGGCGAGCCAUGGGGCUCCCUCGAACGCCCCUGCAAGCUAUCCCUAGGCAUGCUGGUGUGUUUUUCCAUAGCGUUGUGGGCAAUUCGACUGUGUCAUCUUCCAUGCUGAAUCUCGGCCGCACGCGUCCAAGUGCAGGAUGGUGCUUUGGCUUGGUGUUGUCCGACACCUAGGACUUAUCUGGGAUGCAUUGAGGGCUUGGACUGUUCCUCGCGGAUCAAAUCGGAUUUCUUGAUGCGAAAGUCUCUUUUUUCAAGGUGCCGGCAUCAUCACACAGUACCGAGUUGGGUAGUUGCGGGCAUUGCUCGGACGUGCCGAGGCUUCUAGUGUUCCAUGUUCUGCACAUAAGGAUGUGGUGUUAGGUGAUGCCUUUAGUAGCACAGCCGGAGCACGAAGAGACACAAGUCCAGUCAACCAGAAUUGUGUUGUGGGUAGGUUGGCAUGGUUUUAGUCUAGGUGCGGUCGUGUAUGUCUCAUGUAACAAAGUGUCUUGUGUAGGCAUGUCCCUCGAGAACUGUGUGGUGUUGAGGUGCUGGUUUGGUCACACGGUGCUGGUUCAGUAGUUGCGGGCUUCCUUCUGACUUCUCGAGGCUUCUAGUGUGUCCCGUUGUGCACAAAAGGAUGUGGUGUUGGGUGAAGCCCUUAGGGGUAGAUCCGCAGCAUGAAGGGUCCUAAUUCCAAUCACCCUGAAGUGUGUUGUCGACAGGUUUGCACAGUUGAGGUCAAGGUGCGAUCGUGUUUGACUCGAGCACGGAAUGUGGCUUGCGUAGGCUCGUCUCUCGGGAAAGAGUGGUCCAUUGACGUGUUGGUUUGGUCGCACAAUGUCGAGUGGGUUAGUUGCGUCUAUCAUGUUGACAUUCCGACGCUUCUAAUGUUACCCGUUCUGCACGGAAGGAUGUCAUGAUGCCUUUAGUGGCACAACCACAACACGAAGGAGUACAACUCCAAUCAUCCGGAAGUGUGUUGUGGUCGAGUUUGCAUGUUUUGAAGUCUCUAUGCGGUCGUGUCUGAUCCAAGCUAAACUAUGCGGUGUUUGGGCUCGUGCCCCGCUAAACUGUGAUCUGGUGAUGAUCUGGAUUGGUGACACGGUGGCGAGGUAUGUACAUGUGGGAAUUCUGUGGAUGUGCCCAGGCUUCUUGUGUGGCCCAUUGUGCAUUGAAGGAUUAGGUGAUGCCUUCACGGAAGUACAUGAGAGGCCCACCACUGAGAAGCAGUAGGGGGCUUUUGCCCCACAAUGUCUCGUUCGGUUUGUGAUCUGCUCUGGUUAGGAGAUUUAUGUGGAUGCCUUGAAGCACCCUUCUCUACUUGGUGCUCCAAGAGUAUUUUGAGUGACUUAAAUAGUAGGGCACUUCAGAACAGGCUGAGUGGACUUGCUGUUAUGACCCACUUUGAUUUUUCUCCUGUCACUUUGUUUUGUGCCACCAGCCUUCAACUUUUUAAGCUUUAGUUCGUACACCCAAUGAGGAUUGUGGAGUAGCAACUCGUGUGUGCGAUUAGUCGAAUUGGUGCAACAAAAAUCCACAAUGGGCGCAUAGUCCCUUGUUCGAGUGGCAGGUGAAAUAGAUUUGUGCCAUACACACUUUCCAAGUGGUAGGUGAAAGUGAUGGCACAUGUUCCGAGUGGUUAAUGAAAGUGACCCGUUCCUUGCAUGAGAUUCUUGCUUCAGUCGCAUUCCAUAUUUCGGUGAAUACAACAUAAGACGUCGACCCCUUCAAGAAUUGCCUCCAUAUUUGGAGGGGAACCCAAAAAAAAAUUUCCAUGGUUGGCAGCAAAGUCUAAAGUCAUAAUUCAACUCCUAUCCGAUGUUGCCCGUCAUGGCACCAUGGCGUGUGCCACACUUUGGUGGAAAAUCAUUUGGCAAAUGUUUAGGAAUAAUAUUCCAAGCAUUCUUGCAAACGAAUUACUCAAAAAACAUGGUACACACAUAUUUUCUAAUUUUCAGGACUUAUGUAAUGCUCGUCGCUUAAAAAAAUUACGAAAAAUUAUCGACUUGGCGAAAAAUUGUGAAACUUCGGGAAAAAAUUCGACCUCCAGCCUCAAGAAACCCAGUAUGUCUUCCCAGAGAAAAGGAUAUCCGACUCGAAAUUCUUGAUGUGUGCGUCUCACUUGUCGAGGUUCUGGUUUGGUGACUCAGUGACGGGUUUGAUAGUUGCUGGAGGCGGGCGUUCUGAGGCUUCUAGUGUGACCCUUUUUGCACGGAAGGAUGUGCUGUUAGGUGAAGCCUUCAGGGGCAUAGCCGUAGCACGAAGGGGCGCAAUUCUAAUCAUCCGGAAGUGAGUUGCUGGCUGGUUUGCACGGUUGAAGUCAAGGUGCAGUCAUCUGUGAUGCUAGCAAAAAUGUGCCUCGAGUAGGCUUGUCCCUCAGAAUGUGUUGUUGUUGAGGUGUUGGAUUGGUCCCACAGUGCGGAAUUGGUAGUUACGACAUCCCAUGGACGUUACGAGGCUUCUAUUGUGACCAGUCCUGCACGGAAGGAUGUGGUGUUGGGCGAAGCCCUUAGGGGCACAACUGUAGCAUCAAGGGGUGCAAGCCCAAUCAUCUGGAAGUAGUGUGUUUGCGGCUAGUUUUCAUGGUUGGGGUCAAGGUGCGAUGGUGUAAGACGCACGCAACAAUGUUGUGCAUUGUAGGCUUGUCCCAUUGAAAUACGUGCGCACCUCAAGAAAUAUGUGCGCACCUAGGCGUAUAUGUUGCAUGUGAGACCCUUUUCUCCAUGGAAGGACGUGGUGUUAGGUGAUGCCCUAAGGGCUGAGCCGCACCAUGUAUAAGGGAGAGCCUGUUCGUCGGAAGUGCAUUGCAGGUGGAUUUGGCCGUCGGAUAAAAUUUGAACCCUAGUUUAUAUCUAUUUUGGCGGUUACCUUUUCUGUUCGCGCCCGACAUAGCGGAUCCGGCAGCACUAGGUGUUUCCAUUGGCUUGCUUUCCAUUGGCAUUGCGGGGAGUGGUUCGUAUCGUAUUGUCGAGUCUGUCUAACGGGAGGGCGUGUGAGUGGCAAUUGGUAUGUUUGUGUUGUCUGGCUCCAUGAUAAUGGUCAUCGAACUUUCAGCACACAACCCUUCCCAUGUUCGCCUUGUGUCAUUUCGGCCACAGCGUUCAAUUGUGGUUCUUGUGUUGCCUACCUAUUAAGUGGUAUUCAUGCACCUCUUAUGACCCAUUCCAUCCAGAACCCUUCUAGAGGUCAUUGGAGGAUUUGGAAGUGAUGUAUUAGCUGUGAAUUGUGAUGGCUUGCGUUCUCACACGUGUCUAGUGUUCCCAUGGAUGCAGUGCAUGCGGCGUAUGCAGACUGAUGAGUCUGCCCCUUUGGGUCCCUUUGAUUUAUCGGUUUCCUUGAAUAACACUUUGUCGUGGUGUCGGUCUUGCUUAACCGUUUGCAGUAGCAUAACUUGCACGUCGAGCAAAGUUGUUGAUGGAUACUACAUGGUUGAUCCUGCCAGUAGUCAUAUGCUUGUCUCGAAGAUUAAGCCAUGCAUGUGUAAGUAUGAACUAAUUCAGACUCUGAAACUGCGAAUGGCUCAUUAAGUUAGUUAUAGUUUGUUUGAUGAUAUCUACUACUCGGAUAACCAUAAUAAUUCUAGAGCUAAUACGUGCAACAAACCCCGACUUCUGGAAGGGAUGCAUUUAUUAGAUAAAAGGUCGACGCAGGCUCUGCUUAUUGCUUUGAUGAUUCAUGAUAACUCGUCAGAUUGCAUGGCAUUUGUGUCGGCGAAGUAUCAUUCAAAUUUCUGCCCUAUCAAGUUUUGAUGGUUGGAUAGUGGCCUACCAUGGUGGUGACGGGUGACGGAGAAUUAGGGUUCCAUUUUGGAGAGGGAGCCUAAGAAACAGCUACCACAUCCAAGGAAGGCAGCAAGCACUCAAAUUACCCAAUCCUGACACGGGGAGGUAGUGACAAUAAAUAACAAUACCGGGCUCAUUGUGUCUGGUACUUGAAAUGUGUGCAAUCUAAAUACCUUAACGAGGAUCCAUUGAAGGGCAGUCUAGUGCCAGCAGCCGCGGUAAUUCCAGCUCCAAUAGCGUAUAUUUAAGUUAUUAUAGUGAAAAUGCUCGUAAUUGGACCUUUGGUUGGGUCGAUCGGUCCGCCAUUGGUGUGCACCAGUCGGCUCGUCCCUUCUACCAGCGAUAUGCUCUUGGCCUUAACUGGUCGGGUCAUGCCUCCGACGUUGUUACUUUGAAGAAAUUAGAGUGCUCAAAGCAAGCCUACGCUCGGGAUACAUUAGCAUGGGAUAACACCAUAAGAUUUUGAUCCUAUUAUGUUGGCCUUCGGAUCGGACUAAUGAUUAACAAGGACAGUCAGGGGCAUUCGUAUUUCAUAGUCAGAGGUGAAAUUCUUGGAUUUAUGAAAGACGAACAACUGCGAAAGCAUUUGCCAAGGAUGUUUUCAUUAAUCAACAACGAAAGUUGGGGGCUCGAAGAUGAUUAGAUACCAUCCUAGUCUCAACCAUAAACGAUGUUGACCAGGGAUCAACAGAUGUUGCUUUUAGGACUCUACUGGCACCUUAUGAGAAAUCAAAGUCUUUCGGUUCUGUCGCAAGGCUGAAACUUAAAGGAAUUGACGGAAGGGCACCACCAGGAGUGGAGCCUGCGGCUUAAUUUGACUCAACACGGGGAAACUUACCAGGUCCAGACAUAGUAAGGAUUGACAGACUGAGAGCUCUUUCUUGAUUCUAUGGGUGGUGGUGCAUGGCCGUUCUUAGUUGGUGGAGUGAUUUGUCUGGUUAAUUUCGUUACUGAACGAGACCUCAGCCUGCUAACUAGCUAUGUUGAGGUAACCCUCCAUGGCCAGAUUCAUAGAGGGACUAUGGCCACUUAGGCCACAAAAGUUUGAGGCAAUAACAGGUCUAUGAUGCCCUUAGAUCUUUUGGGCCGCACGCGCGCUACACUAAUGUAUUCAACCAGUUUAUAGCCUUGGCUGAUAGGCCUGGGUAAUCUUUGAAAUUCCAUCGUGAUCGGGAUAGAUCAUUGCAAUUGUUGGUCUUCAACGAGGAAUUCCUAGUAAGUGCGAGUCAUCAGCUCACGUUGACUAUGUCCCUUCCCUUUGUAGACACUGCUUGUCGCUUCUACCGAUUGAAUGGUCCGGUGAAGUGUUUGAAUUGCCACGACGUGGCGGUUCCCUGUCGGCGACGUUGUGAGAAGUCCAUUGAACCUUAUCAUUUAGAGAAGGAGAAGUCGUAACAAGGUAUUCGUAGGUGAACCUGCGAAAGGAUCAUUGUCGAAGCCUCACAAGCAAGGUGACCCCGUGAAUCUGUUUUACUCCUCAAGGGUAGCUAGAGGUGUUUGGCACCACGGUCCCCCUCAUGUCAGGAGGCACCACACCCUCUACGGUAUCCUCCUGGCCUAGUAACAAAACCCCAGCGUGGAACGCACAUAGGAAAUUGAAAUCGUUUAGUUCGCCCUCGUCAACCCAAAGACGGUGCUCGUGCGGGCAUAGUUGUGACACGCUUAUCCUAAAGACUCUCGACAACGGAUAUCUCGACUCUUGCAUCGACAAAGAACAUAGCGAAAUGCGAUACUUGGUGUGAAUUGCAGAAUCCCAUGAACCAUCGAGUCUUUGAACGCAAGUUGCACCCGAAGCCAUUAGGGCGAGGGCACGCCUGCCUAGGUGUUGCACAUCGUUGCCCCAUGCUAGGCACCAAGAGGGGCGAAUGUUGGCUUCCUACAAGCAAUGUCUCACGGUUGGUUGAAAACUGAGUCCGCGGUGGAGGACGUUGUGAUGGAUGGUGGUUGAGCUAAUGCUCGAGACUGAUCGUGUGUGUCACUCCCACUAGCUUUGUGACUCUUUGACCCAUGGGGAUAUGUUGGCCUCCUAAUACGGGAACCUCAGGUGAGGCGCAGCUACCUGCUGAGUUUCAGUAUAUCAAUAAGCGGAGGAAAAGAAACUAACAAGGAUCCCCUUAGUAACGGUGAGCGAACUGGGAAAAUCCCAUCAUGAGAAUCGGUCGCCCUCGGUGUCUGAAUUGUAGUCUGGAGAAGCGUCAUCAGCAGCGGACCGGGCCCAAGUCCCCUAGAAGGGGGUGCCGGAGAGGGUGAGAGCCUCGUCGUGCAUAGACCAUGUUGUACCACGAGCCGCUAUCGGCGAGUUGGGUUGUUUGGGAAUGCAGCCCCAAUUGGGCGGUAAAUUCCAUCGAAGGCUAAAUACAGGCGAGAGACCGAUAGCGAACAAGUACCGCAAGGCGAAGAUGAAGGACUUUGAAAAGAGAGUCAUAGAGUGCUUGAAAUUGUCGGGAGGGAAGCGGCUGGGGGCUGGCGAUGUGCCUCAGUCGGAUUUGGAACGAGGAGAGCCAGUCCGCCAAUCGACUUGGGGCAUGGACUGACGCGAAUUGUGAUGGUGGCCCAAGCCCAGGCUGUUGACAUGCUCAUGAAGACGUCAUCAUCGCGAUUGUGGUAGGAAAUGCGCGUCGUUUCGUGUGCUUCGGCUCCUGCGUGCUCCGGGCGUCGACCUGUAGGCUCCCUAUUCGGCCCAUCUUGAAACACAUACCAAGAAGUCUGACAUGUGUGCGACCUAGAGGGCAAGUAAACCCGAGAAGCACAAUGAAGCUGAUUGGUGGGAUCCCCUUGUGGGUUGCACCACCGACCGACCCUGAUCUUCUUUGCAGGGUUUGAGUGAGAGCAUACCUAUCGGGACCCGAAAUAUGGUGAACUAUGCCUGAGCGGAGCGAGACCAGAGGAAACUCUGGUGGAGGCCAGCAACGAUACUGACGUGCCAAUCGUUCGUCUGACUUGGGUAUAGGGGCGAAAGACUAAUCGAACUGUCUAGUAGCUUGUUCCCUCCGAAGUUUCACUCAGGAUAGCUAGAGCCUGUAGGUGAGUUCUAUCGGGUAAAGCUAAUGAUUAGAGGCAUCGAGGGUGCAACGCCCUCGACCUAUUCUCAAACUUUAAAUAGGUAGGACGAUAUGGCUGCUUUGUUGAGCCACUCCAUGGAAUUGAGAGCUGCAAGUGGGCCUUUUUUGGUAAGCAGAACUGGCGUUGCGGGAUGAACCGGAAGUUGGGUUACGGUGCCCAACUGUGUGCUAACCUAGACCCCACAAAGGGUGUUGGUCGAUUAAGAUAGCAUGACGCUAGUCAUGGAAGUCAAAAUCCGAUAAGGAGUUUGUAACAACUUACCUGCCGAAUCAACUAGCCCCGAAAAUGGAAGGCGCUAAAGCGUGCGACCCAUACCCGGCCAUCGGGACAAGGGCCAUGCCCCAAUGAGUAGGAGGACGCGACGGUCGCUGCAAAACCUAUAGCGUGAGCCCGGACGGAAUGGUCGUCGGUGUAGAUCUUAGUGGUAGUAGCAAAUAUUCAAAUGAGAACAUUGAAGGCCGAAGAGGGGAAAGGUUCCAUGUGAAUGACACUUGCACAUGGGUUAGUCGAUCCUAAGGGAUGAGGAAAGCCCGUCUGAUAGUGCUCUAAGCGCGCACUCCGAAAGGGAAUUGGGUUAAAAUUCCUGAACCGGGAUGUGGCGGCUGACUACAACGUUAGGGAGUCCGGAGACGACGACGGGGGCCCGGAAAGAGUUAUCUUUUCUGUUUAAUAUCCUUCCCACCCUAGAAACAACUCAACCGGAGGUGGGGUCCAGCGGCUGGAAGAGCACCGCACGUCACGUGAUGUUUGCUGCGCCCCCGAUGGCCCUUGAAAAUCCAGAGGACCGAGUGCCUCCCACGCCCGGUCUUACUCAUAACUGCAUCAGGUCUCCAAGGUGAACAACCUCUAGUCGAUGGAACAAUGUAGGCAAGGGAAGUUUUCAAAAUGGAUCUGUAACCUUGAGAAAAGGAUUGGCUCUGAGGGAUGGGCAUGAAGGUCCCAGUCCCUAACCCGUCGGCUGUCGGUGGACUGCUCAAGAUGCUCUUAUGGCGAGAGUGGGUCGCUGCGUGCCGGUCGGGGGACGGAUUGGGAAUGGGCCCUUCGGGGCCUCUUCCCCAGACAUCAAACAGUCGACUCAAAACUGGUACAGACAAGGGGAAUCUGACUGUUUAAUAAAAACAAAGCAUUGCGAUGGUUCGUGACGAUGUGGAUGCAAUGUGAUUUCUGCCCAGUGCUCUAAAUGUCAAAGUGAAGAAAUUCAACUAAGCGUGGGUAAACGGCAGGAGUAACUAUGACUCUCUUAAAGUAGCCAAAUGACUCGUCAACUAAUUAGUGAUGCGCAUGAAUGGAGUAACGAUAUUCCCAUUGUCCCUAUCUACUAUCCAGCGAAACCGCAGCCAAGGGAACGGGCUUGGCGGAAUCAGCAGGGAAAGAAGACCCUGUUGAGCAUGACUCUAGUCCGACUUUGUGAAAUGACUUGAGAGGUGUAGGAGAAGUGGGAGUUGGAAACAGAGGAACUGAAAUACCACUACUUUUAACAUUAUUUUAGUUAUUCCGUGAAUCGGAGGCGUGGUGCAGCCCCUAUUUUUGGACCCAAGGUCGGCCUCAGUCGGUCGAUCCGGGCGGAAGACAUUGUCAGGUGGGGAGUUUGGCUGGGGCGGCACAUCUGUUAAUAGAUAACGCAUGUGUCCUAAGAUGGGCUCAACGAGAACAAAAAUCUUGUGUGGAACAAAAGGGUAAAAGCUCGUUUGAUUCUGAUUUCUAGUACGAAUACUGUUAGGUAUCAGUGACAGAAUACACCUAGAAGGGGGUGAAUAGGUGUCGCGGCUCCCACUUACCACUAUAUGCCCCAGAACCCUAUUCUGGAAAAUCAUCCAGUUAAUCGAUUAAAGCUAUGACUUAAUCGAUUAAGUCACAUAGAAUUAGCAAUUGCUUAAUGGCUCAAUUACACAGCCAAUUACAGAUUAUACAGAAAUGAUAUAGCAUAUAUAUUUGAACACAAAUGAUCUUUAUUUGGCAGUAACACUAUAUUCAAAAUAUCAGCUACAAUAGGCAAUUAAAAGCUACUUGAACGCUACCUUCUUGAAUUCCCAGAACCUCUACCUUGGUUUGACAUUAUCAAAAAGAUAAACUAAAUGAAACUUUGGUCAAAAGUAAGAAGAGAUAUGAAGUGAACUCAAACUGUAAUUGAUCAAUUAAUUUUGAGAAUGUAAUUAAUUAACCAGUUGAUGAAAUAAUUGAACAAGCGCAUACAUUUACCAACAUUUAAUCGAUUAAAACAGCAGGUUAAUCGAUUAAACCAAUAGAAUACAACAAUAUGACAGAUUUAAUGGUGUGUAGGGUUAUACAUGAAUCAAUCAAGCAUGGAAUGAUCAAGCAUUUACAUUAUAGCAUUCAAACGGUAGGCUCAAUCAAACAUAAGAUGUACAUAUAACCAAACAUGAUCAAGAACCAUUAAACAUGCAAUCAUGCUAUUUGACAUAUAUAAACAAAAGGAAACCACAAUAGGAAUGAUUUAAGUUCAAUUGGCAUGCAUAUCAAGUCAUAAAAUUGCAGCAAUAAUAGAUAGUUAGAGUUACAAUCCAGAAAGCAAAGACAAAAAUAUGUCUCGAAAUUACAAAGUAGCAUAAAUCCUGAAAAUUAGCCAUAUAGAAGGACUAAACCAAGGGAAUCUAAGAUCUAAGGCCCUAUAAUCUAGGGAUGCAGAGGAGGAUCUCUGUUAUCAGAUACGGUCAGACUACUAUCACCCCGGAUGAGGAAUUUCACAUUCUCAAACUCUGCACAAAACUCUCAUUCUAUGCCUCAGCAGUGUUAUGCACAAAGCUCCUCAUAGCCUGAUAGUGGUUAUCGAAGCACCCUGACGCUCCUCAAAUUUUUCCAAAUCAGUAUGGUAGGAGUCCUUUAAAGACUGAAAGUAUAAGUCCAUCCCGUUCUUCAGCCUUUGCUCCAUGGCAUCCUCUUAAUCAAGAUGUACGCAAUCAAAUAGUGAAGCAAUCUAUUCUCUACCAAUAAAGAACCAGCUUUAGUCAGUUCUCCCUUAACAUAUAGAUGGGGACCUCUCAGACAUGAUUUAUAUACCUCAGCAUCAUCGAAAUCAGCAAGCCAUUCACAAUCACCUAGGCUAACAUCGGUAGUGGAUAAGCCACCCACAUUCAUAAAAAUGCUACUAUCCAUCUCAAACAGAUUUCUCGAAAUCAUAGACAAAUAUCUACCAUCCUUAUAACGGAAGUUGGCGUAAAAUUCCCUAAUCAAAGCGGGAUACAAAUUACCCGUUAAUUCCAAAAACAUUACAGCUCCCUAAGCCUGCAUACCUUGCGGAAAUUUGAAAUUUUGUUCCGCCAUCCAGGUAAGAUCAACGUACCUUAUGUGAUUAGUAGAUCCGAAGAUUAUAUCAUCAACAUAUAUUUGAACUAAAAGCACAUGAUUAUCUAAUCUACGAAUAAAGAGGGUAGUAUCAACCAUACCCCUUUUCCAUAAAGGCCUUUUUGAGCUUAUAUACAUGGUUCAGAUACUUCAAAUUUUCAAAGCCAGGAGGUUGAUCUACAUAUACCUCCUCUUGAAUGUAGCCAUUCAAGAAGGCGCUCUUGACAUCCAUUUGACAGAGCUUGAAGUUAAUAAUUGAUGCAAAGGAUAAAAGCAUCCUUAUGGCCUCUAAUCUGGCUACAGGAGCGUAGGUCUCAUCAUAAUCGAUGCCCUCCUCCUUGUUCUAGCCUUUGGCCACUAAGCAAGCUUUAUUUCUAAUUAUCAAGCUAGAUUCAUCCAAUUUAUUACGAAAGACCCAUCUAGUACNNNNNNNNNNNNNNNNNNNNNNNNNNNNNNNNNNNNNNNNNNNNNNNNNNNNNNNNNNNNNNNNNNNNNNNNNNNNNNNNNNNNNNNNNNNNNNNNNNNNCUGGGAGCUUGUUUCAGGCCAUAAAGGGCCUUUUUGAGCUUAUAUACAUGGUUCGGAUACUUAAAAUUUUCAAAGCUAGGAGGUUCAUCUACAUAUACCUCCUCUUGAAUGUAGCCAUUCAAGAAUGCGCUCUUGAUAUCCAUUUGAAAGAGCUUCAAUUUCAUAAUUGAUGCAAAGGAUAAAAGCAUCCUUAUGGCCUCUAAUCUGGCUACAGGAGCGUAGGUCUCAUCAUAAUCGAUGCCCUCCUCCUUGUUCUAGCCUUUGGCCACUAAGCAAGCUUUAUUUCUAAUUAUCAAGCUAGAUUCAUCCAAUUUAUUACGAAAGACCCAUCUAGUACCAAUCACUGGAUGUUCUUUAGGCUUAGGGACCAAGACCCAUCUAGCUAUACCCUAACGCACAUCCUCAAUGGCCUCAUUGAUGGUCUUAGGCUUGACUUGAGAUACAAAAGCAACAAAGUUACAAAAGUUACGUAAAGAACUACGGGUUACCACCCCCGUAGUUAUAUCACCUAUCACUUUGUCGAGUGGAUGAUCCUUCUUGGUCUUCCACGCGAUUGGCAAGUCCUGAUGUUCAUCUUGUACAGUUUGCUUUGCUUCUACUUCUUUGUCCUAGUCCAUGUCCUUAGGGUAUGCUUCUUCCAAAGCAUCUGCAACAUCAUCAGAGAAUACCUUCCUCUUCUCUUUUGGAGAAGAUUCAUCAAAAUGGACAUGCAUAGACUCUUCUACUUACAUUGAAUAUUUAUUAAUGAUUCGAUAAGCUUUACUAUGCAAUGAAUAUCCCAAAAAUAUACCAUCACCAGCUUUUGAAUCAAAUUUACUUAAAGAUCUUUUUCCAUUAUUUAAUAUAAAACAGUUACGCCCAAAAGCAUGAAAAUGAGAAAUAUUAGGUCUACGACCUUUUAAGAGUUAUUAUGGGGUUUUUGAGUAAGUAGGCAUCAAGGGUAUACGUUUAAUCACAUAGCAAGUUGUAUGCACUACAUCAGACCAAAAAUAUUUAGGAACCUUUCUUUCCUUUAGCAUGGUUCUAGCAAGAUCCUCUAAGACUCGAUUCUUCCUCUCAACAACUCCUUUUUGUUGAGGGGUACGAGGGGCCGAAAAUUGAUGCAUAAUGUCAUAUUUAUUACAAAAUUUAUCAAAUGGAUCGAAUAUAUACUAUCUUAUGAUUAAACUGGUUUUGGAUUUUCUUGGCAAGGUUUUUGAAAGAUUUAAAAGCAUUGCUCUUGGACGAGAGAAAUAAUGUCCAUGUAAAUCUAGAGAAAUCGUCAACGAUCACUAAAACAUAAAAGCUACCACCAAAAUUCAUAACAUGGGAUGGUCCAUACAAGUCCAUAUGGAAAAGCUCCAAAGGUCUUGUUGUGGAUAUCACAUUCUUUUUAGCAAAACAAUUUUUAACUUGUUUACAUCUUUGACAAGUGUCACAAGUUUCUUGAGUUUUAAAAUNNNNNNNNNNNNNNNNNNNNNNNNNNNNNNNNNNNNNNNNNNNNNNNNNNNNNNNNNNNNNNNNNNNNNNNNNNNNNNNNNNNNNNNNNNNNNNNNNNNNGAUUAACCAUAUAGAUAUUAUUUAUAUGAUAUCCGACAAACUUAACUUUAUUAGAUAUAUUGUCACGAAUAAUACAACACUCAGAAUCAAAAGCUACACGAUUAUCUUUAUCGCAUAGUUGGAUGAUACUCAAGAGGUUAUGUUCCAGACCUUCAACAUAUAACACAUUUUCGAUCACAGCCCGAUUUGAGUUGCCAAUUGUUCCGGUGCCAUGUAUCUUCCCUUUGUUAUUGUCUCCACAAGUGACGAACCCUUUUUCUUGCAAGGAUAUAUGUAGGAAUUUAGAUCUAUCACCCGUCAUAUGUCUCGAGGAAUUUAGAUCUAUCACCCGUCAUAUUUCUCAAAGAAUUUAGAUCUAUCUUUGCAUAGAUCACUUGCCUGACAUAGAUCACUUGCCUUUUUCAGGUACCCAAGUUAUGUUGGGUCCUUUUCUGUUAGUAACUAGGGAGUUAUCUCCCUUUUUCAUCCAUACAUACAUGCCACUAGGUAUACCAUAUUUUCUAAUAUAACAGGAGUAGGAAGUGUGGCCAUGAGUGCCACACAAAAAGCAUGUAGGAACCUUUUUAUUAAAAAAUUUCUUAUUGGGUCGAUUAAUAGGUCUCCUAUAUGGUCUUCUCUUAUGCAUAGGGGGGAUAUAUCCUAGCCUGGUAUGGUCACCAACAUUUCUAGUUUUACUAAGCAUAGUGUCUAACAUGUUUUGACUCUCUGUGAGUUUUGCGAGUUUUUCAUUUACUCUCAAAUUUUCAUCUUUCAAAUCAUCGCAAGAAUCAGAGACAGUUGGUUGACAUAAAUUAUUAUCAAAGCAAUUGCAUGCAUUACAAGAAUAGAUCAAAUCUAAUGUUUCAUUUUUCAAUUUUAGUUCAUCUAAUUCUUUUUGUAAUGAAACUAUUUUUUGUUCAUUUAGCAGGAUUACUCUUUUCCUAUCGGAACUAAUCCUAGCUCAUUUCUUUAACUCAUCAUGCAAUUCGACAUACACAUUAUAUAAGUCCUCAUAAGGAGGAGAAUCAUUAGAUGAAGCAUCAUCUGUUCUCGUUAUUAAGCAUAGCUUUACUGUCUCCUCUUCAUAUGAGGUGUUAGAUAUCGUGUCCUCCUCUGGUACAUCCCAUACUAUAUAAUCUUUCUUCGAUUUGAAGUCCCGAGGAGUGCUCUUAUCUGAAUCAACCUUUUUGGGGUAAGUAGGACAUUGGAACCUCAUAUGUCCUGGCUUACCACAUUCCUGGCAAGUGAAGCACUCUUUACUCUUGCCUUUUCUGGUCGACUCCCACGCUUCUUUCUUCUAGAAACAUUUGAACCCUCCUUUCUUUAGAAAUUUCCCGAAUUUGCGUAGGAGAAGGCUCAAUGUUUCUUCGUCUACAUCUGAAUCAGAUUCAUCUUCUUUUCUCUCUUUUGUGGAUUGAGAGUUUGUUGCCUUGAGAGAUAUACUUUUUUGUUUGCGAUCUGAUUUUUCAUGCAUAGUCAGGCGUCCAAGCUCCAUUUUGUGCUCUUGAAGUUUUCCGAACAAUGUUGCCAAAGGCAUGGAGCCAAGAUCCUUUGAUUACAUAAUAGAUGUUACUUUUGGUUGCCAUCUCCUGUCAAGAUAGCGUAAAACUUUGUUAGUAAGCUCUCUUUUGUUAAAAAAUUUACCCAAAGCAACUACAUGGUUAACUAUAUGAGUAAAACAUUUUUGCAUAUCAACAAUAGAUUCAUUUGGUAACAUACGAACUAACUUAUAUUCAUGUGUCAGGGCAUUCAACCUGGCACGCUUGACUUUGCUAGUUCCUUCGUGAGUUACUUGUAAAGUGUCCCACAUUACUUUAGCACUUUGGCACUGUGAAACUCGAAAGAACUCAUCAUAGGAUAGGGCCGAUGUGAUGAUAUUUUUGGCACGUAGGUUAUACUGAACCUUUUUGCGUUCAUCAUCAUUCCAUAGACUUUUCGGUUUAUCUUUCGUUUCAUCGUCCACUAAAUGUUGUGGAACGAAGGGCCCGUUGACUAUGCAUUCCCAAAUAUCCGAGUCGAUGGCCUCUAUAAAUAUUUUCAUGCAAACUUUCCAGUAGGAAUAUCCUUUGCCAUUGAAAAUGGGAGGGCAUUUAACGGAUGCGCCAUCACCGCCACAAGGGUUGGUGGAACGAUUUCCCUAAUGGAUCACGCAGAUACGAUUGAGCUAGCACGACGUACUAGCUCUGAUACCACUUGUUAGGUAUCAGUGAGAGAAUACACCUAGAAGGGGGGGGGGUUGAAUAGGUGUCACGGUUCCCACUUACCGCUAUUUGUACCAAAGCCCUAUUCUGGAAAAUCUCCCAGUUAAUCGAUUAAAGCUAUGACUUAGUCGAUUAAGUUGGACAGAAUUACCAGUUGCUGAAUGGCUCAAUUACACAGCCAAUUACAAAUUAUACAGUAAUGAUAUAGCAGAUAUAUUUGAACAUAAAUAAUCUUUAUUUGGCAGUAAUACUAUAUUCAAAAUCUCAGCUACAAUAGGCAAUUAAAAGCUACUUAAUAAGUAAAGAGAUAAGGGAAAGAAACAGUCCGCAAUAAGGUUUUUAUACUAGUUUGUUUUGCGGUCCACUGCAAAACUACAUCUAGUCCUCCCCUCUGAUCUGGGAGAUUAUCUUCACUAAAAUUGAUGUCAAUGUAUCUUACAUACACACUUCCAAUUACAAGACCUUGAACGCUACCUUCUUGAAUUCCCAGAACCUCUACCUUGGUUUGACCUUACUCAAUCGCCUAGGAAAACCUUCCCUACGAUCCAGCCCCAUCAAGAGUAUGUUCUAAACUCAAGACCUCCAAGUCUUGGUGAAGACUCUCUGAUCUCGUCGGUGGUACGACACCAAGAGAAGACUUUCCUUAUUACACAAACAACACAAAUAACAGAGUAAUGUGGAGCACAAAAUAGCUCAAAUAUUACAAGACAAAACAAGGUAUAAACCUUAUACAAAUCUCACAAUUACUAAGAAUAUGUAUAAGAUCAGAAUCAUGAAGAACAUGUAAUUUCUACCCUUUAGAAAUCUCUAAACAGUAAUGAAUGAAUCAUGCAAGAACAAGAUAGGAUGAUGAACACAUUUGAUAAUAUGCAAUGGAUGACAUGUUAAUCCCUAGGCAUAAUACUAUCUCACUCUAAUCUCACAUGAAAUUUUCUCUGCCUAUAUGACAUACAAAGAAUAUGAAAAUAUGCAACUUAGCAGGUUUAAUAUGAAUGAAUGAAUGUAUUAAUUCGUAUAUAGAAUCUGUUGAAAAUACAGUUUCUCUAGAAAAAGUGUUUUGCACCCAAUUAAUUGAUUAUGUUGCAUGUUAAUCGAUUAACGGGCUGUUAGAGAGUAACUGAAUUCUGCUUUUUAGUUAUCUGUUGAAAAUGUUAAAAAAUGUUUUCGCGUUAAUCGAUUAAAGCUUCACUUAAUCGAUUAACUAGCAUAUUUUUAGUUAAGGUGUUAAUUGGUAAACUACCUAUAUGUCAUGCUUAUCAACUAUACAUGUUUUACCUUUAUGUUAUGCCUAAAAUGCACAAAUAACAUGUAUGAUUAAUGCAUGAACAUAUAAUAAACUAGAUGGCAUGUCUCAUGUAAAUGAUAUGAUAGUUUUUAGACUUUGUGAUAUUUUCAUCUAGGUUUACCUAACCUAGACUCAAUAACUAAGACACAUCUAAGACUCUAGUCUAGACAUGAAGCUCUUGAAUCUUUGGCAUGUUGAUUUCUUGAGUUGUCUUUAAGCUUUCACUAAGUGCUUUGUCUUCAUCAAAACAUAGGCAAGCUUAAGUGCUCUCUUGACACAUUGUACUUUCAAAUACGAACCAUGAAAGCAUGGCCUAUCGAUCCUUUAGUCCUUUGGAAUUUGAAGUUAUAGGUGUUAGAAAAGUUACCACAUGGAUAACUGGCUUGUGGCAGCCAAGCGUUCAUAGCGAUGUUGCUUUUUGAUCCUUCGAUGUCGGCUCUUCCUAUCAUUGUGAAACAUAAUUCACCAAGUGUUGGAUUUUUCACGCUCCAAUAGGUCCCUAUGGAUUUGGGCGGUUAUCUUUUAUGUUCGCGCCUGACGUACCGAAUCUGGCGGCACCAUGUGAUUCCAUUUUCUUUCAUGCCAUUGGCAUUGCGGGGAGUGGUUCAUAUGGUACCAUCGAGUUUGUCUAACAGGAGGGCAUGUGAGUGACAAUUGGGAUGUUUGUGUUGUGUGGCUCCAUAAUCAUGGUUAUCGAACUUUCAGCACACAACCCUUCCCAUGUUCACCUUGUGUCAUUUCGGCCCCCGCGUUCAGUUAUGGUUCUUGUGUUGCCUACCCGUUACGUGGUAUUCAUGCGCCUGUUAUGACUCGUUCCAUCUAGACUUCUUCUAGAGGUCGUUGGAGGAUUCAAAAUUGAUGUCUGUGAUGUGUUAGCUGUGAAUUGUGAUGGCUAGCAUUCUCACACGUGUCUAGUGUUCCCUUGGAUGCGGUGCAUGCGGCGAAUGCAGCCUGAUGAGUCUGCCCUGUUGAGCCCUUUGAUUUAUUGGUUCCCUUGAAUAACACUUUGUCGUGGUGUGAGUCUUGCUUUACGGUUCGAGGUGGAAACACUUGCAUGUCAAGCAAAGUUCUCGAUGGAUGCUACCUGGUUGAUCCUGCUAGAAGUCAUAUGCUUGUCUCAAAGAUUAAGCCAUGCAUGUGUAAGUAUGAACUAAUUCAGACUGUGAAACAGCAAAUUGCUCAUUAAAUCAUUUAUAGUUUAUUUGAUGGUAUCUACUACUCGAAUAACCAUAGUAAUUCUGGAGCUAAUACUGCAACAAACCCCGACUUCUGGAAGGGAUUCAUUUAUUAGAUAAAAGGUCGACGCAGGCUCUGCGUGUUGCUUUGAUGAUUCAUGAUAAUUCGUCGGAUCGCACGGCCUUUGUGCCAGCAACACAUCAUUCAAAUUUUUGCCCUAUCAACUUUCGAUGGUAGGAUAGUGGCCUACGAUGGUGGUGAUGGGUGACGGAGAAUUAGGGUUCAAUUCCGGAGAGGGAGCCUAAGAAACGGCUACCACAUCCAAGGAAGGCAACAUGCGCGCAAAUUACCCAAUCCUGACACGGGGAAGUAGUGACAAUAAAUAAGAAUAUCAGGCUCAUUGAGUCUGAUAAUUGGAAUGAGUACAAUCUAAAUCCCUUAACAAGGAUCCAUUCGAGGGCAAGUCUGGUGCCAACAGUCGCGGUAAUUCCAGCUCCAAUAGCGUAUAUUUAAUUUGUUGCAGUUAAAAAGCUUGUAGUUGGACCUUGGGCUGGAUCGAUCGGUCCGCAAUUGGUGUGCACCGGUUGGCUCGUCCCUUCUGUCGGGGAUGCACUCAUGGCCUUAACUGGCCAGGUCAUGCCUCCGGCACUAUUACUUUGAAGAAAUUAGAGUGCUCAAAGCAAGCCUACGCUCUGGAUACAUUAGCAUGGGAUAAAACCACAUGAUUCUGAUCCUAUUGUGUUGGCUUUUGGGAUCGGAGUAAUGAUUAACACGGACAGACGUGGGAAGUCGUAUUUCAUAGUCAGAGGUGAAAUUCUUGGAUUUAUGAAAGACGAACAACUGCGAAAGCAUUUUCCAAGGAUGUUUUCAUUAAUAAAGAACGAAAGUUGGGGGCUUGAAGACGAUGAAAUAUCGUCCUAGUUUCAACAAUAAACGAUGUCGACCAAGGAUCAUUGGAUGUUGCUUUUAGGACUCCGCUGGCACCUUAUGAGAAAUCAAAGUCUUUGGGUUCCAGGGGGAGUAUGGUCGCAAGGUUGAAACUUAAAGGUAUUGAUGGAAGGGCACCACCAGGAGUGGAGCCUAC